rnacentral:rRNA from 1 species
GUGAGGAAUUUUCCGCAAUGGGCGAAAGCCUGACGGAGCAAUGCCGCGUGAAGGAUGAAGGCCUAUGGGUUGUAAACUUCUUUUCUCAGAAAAGAAUUAUGACGGUAUCUGAGGAAUAAGCAUCGGCUAACUCUGUGCCAGCAGCCGCGGUAAGACAGAGGAUGCAAGCGUUAUCCGGAAUGAUUGGGCGUAAAGCGUCUGUAGGUUGUUUAAAAAGUAUUCUGUCAAAGAUUAGGGCUUAACCCUAGAUAGGCAGAAUAAACUUUUAAGCUAGAGUUUGGUAGAGGCAGAGGGAAUUACCGGUGGAGCGGUGAAAUGCGUAGAUAUCGGGAGGAACACCAAAGGCGAAGGCACGCUGCUGGGCCAAUACUAACACUGAGAGACGAAAGCGAGGGGAGCAAAUGGGAUUAGAUACCCGGGUAGUCC